UGCUCACAGCUCAUCGCACUUCGCACUUCGCACUUCGCAGUAUUCAGUAUUCAGUAUUCAGUAUUCACAAUAUUCCGCUACUCUUCCAAACGCUCACUCUGCAACUCCAUUGAUGAACAACAAAACUUGCAUCUUGCAUCUCUGAAUUCCGAAUAAGAAAUGGUAGUACUUACUCGUCUGAAAUCCGCUUUACGUCUUCUUCCUCGUUCUUCCGUGACCUACGGAACCUCUGCCUCUUCCACCUCCAACCUCUCACCGGCGAAGAGGAAUCAAAUCGCCGCCGUUUACGUCCCGCAGGAUUUGUAUCGUCGGAUCUUCACUGUGACCGAUCCAACUCUCCCGGUUGUUACGAUUCUCGAGCAGUGGGUUCAGGAUGGCCGAACUCUUAGCUACGAUAAACUGCUAUUCCUUAUCAAGCAACUUAGGUCACGCAAAAGAUAUAAAAACGCCCUCGAGGUAUCAUUUUGGAUGUCUGAGAAAGGAUACUCUGAACCUAGUUCUGCUGAUUUUAGUUUAAGACUGGACUUGAUUGCAAAGGCUAAGGGAAUAGAAGAAGCUGAAUCCUAUUUUGAUAGCAUUCCGAAAUACUCAAGAGCUGCAGAAUGUUACAGCUCUCUUCUUAAUUGCUAUGCUCAAGUUAGGGAUGUGGAUAAAGCUGAAAGGAUCAUGCUGCAGAUGAAACAUUUGGGUUUUGCAAGGUCUACUUUGGCAAGAAAUUCUUUGCUUAACCUCUACUAUCAAACACAAAACUAUGACAAAGUGGAAAAUUUGUUGCUUGAAAUGAAAGAAGAGGAUAUUAAAUUCGAUAGAUUUACAUUAGCAACCUUGAUUAAUACAUAUGCGGCCAAAUCUGAUAUAGAAGGAAUCGACAAACUUCUUGCACAGUUAGAAGAUGAUCCAUCAUAUUCCCGACAUGUAGAUUGGUGGAGUGUUUAUGCUGUGGCAGCCAAUUGGUAUGGCAAACUCGGGCUUCAUGAUAAAGCUUUUAACGCUUUAAAGAAAUCAGAGAAGCGCCUGAGUUAUACAAUCUGGAAUGAGGCCUUUCCUUACCUUAUGACUCAAUAUGCAGCAAUAGGGAAGAAAGAAGAAGUGAUGAGGUUGUGGAAUAUUUACAUGAUGGAUGGGAAAUUACUCAAAAGAGACUAUUAUUCAGCUGUAAUAAGUUCAUUUCUCAAGUUGGAUGACAUUGAACUUGCUGAGAGUAUCUUUGAGGAGUGGGAAUCUAGAAACCGGUAUUUCAUAAAUUUCUUUAUUCCAAACAAGAUGAUAGCAGCUUACAGCAGAAAGGGCAAUAUGGAGGAAGCUGAAGCCAUUGUUAAUAGGACAAUCAUGAAGGGAGGAAAGCCAAAUUCAUGGACUUGGUCAUGGCUCUUGCUUGGAUAUAUUCCACAAAGAAAUUUUCCGAGGGCUGUUCAUUGUAUGAAAGAGGCAGUUUCUAUCUGUGAAGUGGGGUGUAAGUGGAGGCCAUUACCAGAAUCCUUAGCUGCCAUUUUUCAGUACUUGAAAUUUAAUGGAGAUAUGGAGGAGGCAGAGGAUUUGAUAAGGUUACUCAGUAGCAAGAAUGUUAUCUCCCUUGAUGUUCAUAACAAGCUGAUGAGUUGGAUUAAGGAUGUGGAGUCAAAUGUGCCUGCAAUUGCUGUGCUGGGAGGCGAUUCACAUAAACAAACAGAUUCAAAGAAGGGAUAGGAAAAUCUAGCAGAUUCUCUUUCCAUCACCGUCGUCGUUCUUUCUUUCGCUACCUCCUCGGUUACUCAUUCUCUCCUACACCGUGCUUGCUCUACUAGGGUUUUUGCCCCUCUUUCACUCACUGUUGCUUGCUCUAUGUUCCUCUUCAUCCGCGGUCUCGCUCUUUCUCUGAUCCUCGCCACCGGAACACGGUUCCGCAGCCGCACCGCAACACUCGGGUCCACCACUUCACUGAUUUUUGUCGCCCCUCUGUCCCUGUUCUUCACCAGCGACUCUGAUCUUUGUCCUUCUUCCUUCACCUCUGCCUUUGCGACCUACUCCUUUAAGGUGGGAAGUUUUCAAACAACAAAUGAAAGACAUGCUUCAUCACAGUGAUCAAAAGGGCAUCGAGUUGAAAAAGCCUGGUGCUUCUCUUUAUACGUUUCCCAUGCCAGAUUGCAUGUGUAAACAGGAAGAAGCAAGAAGUAGAAAUUGUAGCUCUAGGAAAUGUACAAUGUUUUGAGUAUAAAUAUAUGACAUUUAGGAACACGAUCAAUACCUGUAAUUUAUUUUUGUAUCAUUCAGUUCAAUUUUCUUUUUUCU